GAUGAACGCUGGCGGCGUGCUUAACACAUGCAAGUCGAACGGAAAGGCUCCUGCUUGCAGGGGUACUCGAGUGGCGAACGGGUGAGUAACACGUGGGUGAUCUGCCCUGCACUUCGGGAUAAGCCUGGGAAACUGGGUCUAAUACCGGAUAGGACCACAUUUUGGAUGGUGUGGUGGAAAGUUUUUCGGUGUGGGAUGAGCUCGCGGCCUAUCAGCUUGUUGGUGGGGUAAUGGCCUACCAAGGCGUCGACGGGUAGCCGGCCUGAGAGGGUGUACGGCCCCAUUGGGGCCGAAAAACGGUCCGGACUCCUAGGGGAGGCAGUAAUGGGGAAUUGUUGCAAAUGGGCGGCAGCCUGAUGCAGCGACGCCGCGUGGGGGAUGACGGCCUUCGGGUUGUAAACUCCUUUCGCUAGGGACGAAGCGCAAGUGACGGUACCUGGAGAAGAAGCACCGGCUAACUACGUG
rnacentral:rRNA from 1 species